UCAUGUUGAAACACAGGUUUUCAUAUGAUCACCAAAGUUAAGCAACAUUAAGCUUGGUCAAUACCUGGAUGGGUGACCACUUGGGAAUACCAUGUACUGUAA